rnacentral:rRNA from 1 species
CAAACUGCGAAUACCGGAGAAUGUUAUCACGGGAGACACACGGCGGGUGCUAACGUCCGUCGUGAAGAGGGAAACAACCCAGACCGCCAGCUAAGGUCCCAAAGUCAUGGUUAAGUGGGAAACGAUGUGGGAAGGCCCAGACAGCCAGGAUGUUGGCUUAGAAGCAGCCAUCAUUUAAAGAAAGCGUAAUAGCUCACUGGUCGAGUCGGCCUGCGCGGAAGAUGUAACGGGGCUAAACCAUGCACCGAAGCUGCGGCAGCGAACGUAUCACUUAAAGCGAUUCAGCGGGUUACGAUUGACGGAGCGAAGCGACGUCAAAGCGUAUACAAAGUCGAGUCGGUUUAAGGAUACGUUCGUUGGGUAGGGGAGCGUUCUGUAAGCCUGUGAAGGUGUGUCGUGAGGCAUGCUGGAGGUAUCAGAAGUGCGAAUGCUGACAUAAGUAACGAUAAAGCGGGUGAAAAGCCCGCUCGCCGGAAGACCAAGGGUUCCUGUCCAACGUUAAUCGGGGCAGGGUGAGUCGACCCCUAAGGCGAGGCCGAAAGGCGUAGUCGAUGGGAAACGGGUUAAUAUUCCCGUACUUGGUGUUACUGCGAAGGGGGGACGGAGAAGGCUAUGUUGGCCGGGCGACGGUUGUCCCGGUUUAAGCGUGUAGGUGUGUGUUCCAGGUAAAUCCGGUUCACUUUAACACUGAGGCGUGAUGACGAGGCACUACGGUGCUGAAGCAACAAAUGCCCUGCUUCCAGGAAAAGCCUCUAAGCAUCAGGUAACAUCAAAUCGUACCCCAAACCGACACAGGUGGUCAGGUAGAGAAUACCAAGGCGCUUGAGAGAACUCGGGUGAAGGAACUAGGCAAAAUGGUGCCGUAACUUCGGGAGAAGGCACGCUGACACGUAGGUGAAGUGAUUUACUCAUGGAGCUGAAGUCAGUCGAAGAUACCAGCUGGCUGCAACUGUUUAUUAAAAACACAGCACUGUGCAAACACGAAAGUGGACGUAUACGGUGUGACGCCUGCCCGGUGCCGGAAGGUUAAUUGAUGGGGUCAGCGCAAGCGAAGCUCCUGAUCGAAGCCCCGGUAAACGGCGGCCGUAACUAUAACGGUCCUAAGGUAGCGAAAUUCCUUGUCGGGUAAGUUCCGACCUGCACGAAUGGCGUAAUGAUGGCCAGGCUGUCUCCACCCGAGACUCAGUGAAAUUGAACUCGCUGUGAAGAUGCAGUGUACCCGCGGCAAGACGGAAAGACCCCGUGAACCUUUACUAUAGCUUGACACUGAACAUUGAGCCUUGAUGUGUAGGAUAGGUGGGAGGCUUUGAAGCGUGGACGCCAGUCUGCGUGGAGCCGACCUUGAAAUACCACCCUUUAAUGUUUGAUGUUCUAACGUGGACCCGUAAUCCGGGUUGCGGACAGUGUCUGGUGGGUAGUUUGACUGGGGCGGUCUCCUCCUAAAGAGUAACGGAGGAGCACGAAGGUUGGCUAAUCCUGGUCGGACAUCAGGAGGUUAGUGCAAUGGCAUAAGCCAGCUUGACUGCGAGCGUGACGGCGCGAGCAGGUGCGAAAGCAGGUCAUAGUGAUCCGGUGGUUCUGAAUGGAAGGGCCAUCGCUCAACGGAUAAAAGGUACUCCGGGGAUAACAGGCUGAUACCGCCCAAGAGUUCAUAUCGACGGCGGUGUUUGGCACCUCGAUGUCGGCUCAUCACAUCCUGGGGCUGAAGUAGGUCCCAAGGGUAUGGCUGUUCGCCAUUUAAAGUGGUACGCGAGCUGGGUUUAGAACGUCGUGAGACAGUUCGGUCCCUAUCUGCCGUGGGCGCUGGAGAACUGAGGGGGGCUGCUCCUAGUACGAGAGGACCGGAGUGGACGCAUCACUGGUGUUCGGGUUGUCAUGCCAAUGGCACUGCCCGGUAGCUAAAUGCGGAAGAGAUAAGUGCUGAAAGCAUCUAAGCACGAAACUUGCCCCGGGAUGAGUUCUCCCUGAGACUUAGAGUCUCCUGAAGGAACGUUGAAGACGACGACGUUGAUAGGCCGGGUGUGUAAGCGCAGCGAUGCGUUGAGCUAACCGGUACUAAUGAACCGUGAGGCUUAACCUUACAACGCCGAA